GACCUUCAAACCCCAACCAAAUUCCCGCCAAAAGAAGAACGAGGGAGAGAGAAAUCUCGCGGAACCUGCCGCAGCUCGAGUUCGUCUUCUCCUCCACCGCUCCCUUCGUCGAAUCGCGCAACAACAAAAUUGAGUUGUGCUUUCGUCUGUGUUUUUUGGGGGCUGAUCUGAGUCGAAAAAGCGUGGACUCCCAUUGGAAGAGAAGCGAGAGAAGAUGUGUCAGAUAUUCUACGAGUCGCAAGGCUUCUUCCUCUUUGGAAAGAAGUGGAGUCAUACCAUGUUUUUGCAUUCUUUGUCCUAGGAAGGAAGAGAGAGAUUCAUCCAUGAGAGUACAAGUCGAUAGCACUCAUCAGAAGUACUCUUCCUUGUUACGUUUCAGCUAAAGGAGCUUGAGAAAUUGGGACCCAGAAAAGGUGUUAUUACCCAGUCCGUCAAAGAUGUUGUUCAAAGUUUGGUUGAUGAUGAUCUAGUCUCAAAGGACAAGAUUGGAACUUCGGCGAGUCAUAGCUUUCCCGACAUGAGUUUUCCCCCUCAACUCUAUAUCAACAAGAAAUACACCGACAUGAUUGCUCAUAUAUUCAUGCUUCCAAACUCUUUUGCUCCUCACGUCAUUCUAAUACUAAACUCAAGCAGUACUUCUGAUCAAGUAUAGCACUGAAAUGCCUAAUUGCGGGAAUUGGCUUGAAAUUUCAGGUAUAUUUCUGAGUCUUCCUAGCUGCGCGGCAAACCAGGUUGAGAUCAAUACUUCACUGUUGACCUGAAUUCUAUGAGAGCUGUCUCUUUGUUUGCAUUCAUUAUGCACUUUGUUAACGAUAACAACAGAGUAACUAAAUCACAGCUGCGAAAUGUGUACCUGAAACUUGAAUCUGAUGUCCAAAGAAGUAAGAGGCGGCUCGCAGGGCUAGCUGAUCAGUACAAUGCAUUAAAGAAGGGAAGGGAGGAAUCUGUGAGUAGAUCUAUUUUCAACAAUAGGCAAUAUGGUCCUAAAGAGUGAAAUGUAAAAGUUGUGUGCUUCCUCUGUGGCUUGACCAGGAUGAACGUAAGGAGGCUUUAAGCAACCUUAAAAAAGUAGAGGCGACAUACAAUGAGUUGAAGGUUGUGGUUGAACUAUUCCCCCAUUCUCAUUGAUUAUCCAAAAUUAAAAGUGAAGUAAUAAUGAUAGUCCAUCGUCUGAUAGUUUAGGACGAGAUGGCAGAAUAUGCAGACAAUGAUCCAGCUGCCUUUAAAGCAAUGAGUUAGGAAAGCCGGUCUUAUGAUGCUCAAAUUUCUAGUUUUUUCCUUAAGCUUUUCUGGAUUUCUCGUUUCUUUCUUUAUGUUAUUUUGUUUGGCGAUCUGACUAGCUGACUCUUUCUCAGUAAUAUGGACAGAGGAUGCAAUAUCGGUUGCUCAUGCAGCAGCCAAUAGAUGGACAGACAAUAUUUUCACACCGAGACAGUGGUGCUCAAACAAUUUUCCAGAAGCCAAAGAACAGCUAGAACAUAUGUACCGGGAGGAGUUCUCAUAAGCACAUGUAUAGCCCCGUCCAAAAGCAUCAUAGUAGGUAGACCAACACCCAAAUACUGAUAACUGCGGUUUAUUUGGCCAAAAACACUAUAAAUAGCAGCAUCUAAACCAUUAGCAAAUGUGAUGGUUUUGUUCCGAGAAACAUUUUCUGCUCACCAGAUAAAUCAGUCCAGUCAAAAUAUAGUUCCAAAAGGAUGAGUGAAUUUAUUCUUAAGCAAGGUGUGAGCAGCUCCUUCGAAGUAGCUGUUUUAGCUUAGCAGAUCUUUCGAAAAACUUGUUCAAAAAGUCUUAAACUUAUUGCAUUUUUGCCAAUCAUAAUAAAUCUUUCAAUUUUGAUACUUCAAUCCUAAACUUUUUCAUUUAUUGUGUUAAUUGAGUUCAUCCGACCAAUUUGGUAGGAAAUUACUAACUUGACAUUUUAAAUAAUAUUUUAAUAAUAUUUUGAAUUUUCUAUGGUUUUCUUCUUUUUAUUUUACUUUUUUUGCUUU